rnacentral:rRNA from 1 species
UACGGACGGGGCAAGCGUUGUUCGGAAUCAUUGGGCGUAAAGGGCGCGUAGGUGGUUCUGUAUGUCUACCGUGAAAGCGUACGGCUCAACCGUAUUUUGUCGGUAGAAACUGCAGGACUUGAGGCUGGGAGGGGCUGGUGGAAUUCCCUGUGUAGCGGUGAAAUGCGCAGAUAUCAGGAGGAACACCGGUGGCGAAGGCGGGUCUCUGGGCCGAUACUGACGCUGAGGAGCGAAAGCGUGGGGAGCAAACAGG